UGCAAUUUACGGGCAGGAAAACUUCCUGGACGAACAGAGUGAGGGAGAGCUCUCUCAGCACCUUAGAAAACCCAGUCCUGCGAGGUGUCUGCUUCUCUUCCCUGGGAGUCAGAAGAUGUCCUUUCCCUUUAAAUGUGCACCUGGAAAGUUCUCUAUCAAACCAGACUGACACAGGCAGGCCCUCCACCCUGCCAACAAGAGCAGUCACUGAGAUCCAGGAUGGCUGUUGACUAGCUGGCGGGGUUAGCACAGAUGGACUAGCUGGACCACGGACAGAAGGGGGGCACUUGCCACGAAGGGACCACACUCCACAGGCCCAGGGGGUGGAGCCCGCGAUCUCCUGACUCCCACAGCUGCCCUCGGACCUCACCUCUCUCCCUCUGAGGCUCAGGCCACGAGCCAGAACACUGUUCCUCUUGCUGACCUCCGACAUUCGUUGCAGGCCUUGGAGCCCUGCUCACCAGCCCCCCCAGGGUCACAUUCCCUGCUGCUGUCCUGGCGAUUUCUGACAUCUACGUGCACAACUCACCCUUCAACUAUGUUUCUCAGGACAGCAUUGCUGUUUCAGGAAGGUGGCCAGGGUCUAAUCGUUCUGCAGUCCCAUUUCCACUAUGUAAACUGCUACAAAUUUUAAGAGACGUGUGUGCUGAGAAGUCUUAAAAUAAAGUCAAACCACUGUGCUGGUGCAGGAGUCUUAGUACAGAUCCAGACUUUUUACUGCACUCCUACUGAAAGCGAGGUGUUACGAAGCACAUUAUCCCACCGGAUCCUAAAGGGGCUCUGAGGUGCUAUAGCUGAAAAGAUCUGGAAGAGAGUUGUUCCAGACAACUGAAAAGGAAAGAAACUGUUCUGAAAAGAGUUGUUGCCUUGGAACACAGACCUGGGUGCCGUGCUCCAAUCUGGAGUACUCCGCAAGGCCACCCGGCCCCGGAGCUUCCCUGGAGGACCAGCGGAGGCCGCUAUUGAAGCUGCAUCCCAGCCCAGCUUCUCCCUCAGCCUGCCCUCGCUGCCCUUGCUUUCUUCCAGGGGCUGUUCCUCUACCACUCCCUGAUAAACCUCCUGCAGGCCGAUCCCCUUCUCAGAGUCUGUUUCCCAGGGAACCCCCCAGGACUUACACCAUCCUUCUCGAGGGAAGUGACUCUAUCAACAGACUGAGACUUUCGUCUGCCAUAGUUGCCCAAGGACAUGGAGGUCUGUGGGCCUUUUGCAGGAUGAUCAGCUACAUCUCUGCAGCAAACGAGGAAAAUACGUCAUCACUGCAAAUUCCCUCUUAGAAGUCCCUCCAGUCUCAGGAAUCGUACUUGCUUCUCCAAUUUCUAUAAGACAUUGAGAAACUUGCACUCAGUAUGCGACUGUGGUAAGACUGGAUGUCAUCGGACGUCACAAUGGGCCCCCCGUUUUGCCACUGCUGCCUCACAUGUGAGGUGUGUAGAUACUCAAGUCGAAAGCACCACUGGCUCUGGGGCAGGCUGAGGAGUCCUACUCUCCAGCAGAGGGCUGGAAGCAAUGUACCCAGGCAUUUCUUGGCAUUGCACUGGAGGGCAACCAAACAGAGUAGGACCUCCUCUGAGUUGCCCCUGUGUCCUAAAGUCUAGCUUGGCUUAGAGAUGAGAGGCAGCCCUGGUUUGAGACCCUAAAACUAAACUCUAAAUUCUCAGGCCAAAAAAUUAAAGCCCUACUUGCUGUUUCCUGUCAACUCCUUAACUCCUACCAUUCCUAUGAGGCCAUCUCAAGGGACUUCUCCAUAAGACCUUUCUUCUGUUUAUUUUUAAAAGCUUUAUUGAGAUAUAAUUCACAUACCAUACAAUUCACUGUUUAAUAUACUUAAACCACCGAAUUUAAGUGCAAUUCAAUGGUUUUUAGUGUAUUCCCAGAGUUGUGCAACCAUAACCACGAUCAGUUUUAGAACAUUUUCAAUAACCCAAAAAGAAACCCCUCAUCUCUUAGCUGUCAUUCCCAAGCCCCCUCCGUUACCCACCUCCGGCCUCAGGUAACCACUCACCUACCUUCUCUAUACAUUUGUCUAUUCUGGGUAUUCAACAGACACUGAGUCAUACAAUAUGGGGUCUUUUGCGUGUGGCUUCUUUCGCUGAGUAUAACGUGCUCAAGGUGCAUCCCACGCUGCAGCAUGUGUCAGCACUCGUUCUUUCCUAUUGCUGCAUACUAUUCCGUUGUAAGGGGUAUACCACAUUUUCUUUAUCCAUCAUCGUGAUGGACACUGGGAUGUUUCCACUUCUCGGCUAUCGUGGAUCACCGUGCUGUGAGUAUUUGCAUACACGUUUUUGUUUGGGCAUCUGUGAUCAUUUCUCUUGGGUGCGUAGCUUAAAGUGGGGUUGUUGGAUGAUGUGGUAACUGUUUAACCACUUGAGGAAGUGCCUGAUGGUUUUCCACAACAGCUGCACUCUCAAUUCCCACAAGCAGUGGCUGAGGGCUCUGAUUCUCCACAUCUUCACCAAUGCUUGCCAUUUUCUGUUUUUUUUGAUUAGGGCCACCCUAGUGGGUGUAAACUGGUAGCUCAUUGUGGUUUGGUUUGCAUUUUCCUGAUGACUAAUGAUGUCGAGCAUCUUUCCAUGUGCUUAUUGGCUGUUUAUCUUCUUUGGAAAAAUGUCUAUUCAGAUUCUUUGCCCAUUUUAAAAUAUGGUUGUCUUCUUAUUAUUGAAUUAAAUAGUCCUUUAUAUAUCCUAGGUACAAGGACCUUCUCCAAUAUAUAAUUUGCAGAUAUUUUCUCCCAUUCUGUGGGUUGUCUUUUCACUUUCUUGAUGGUGUCCAUUGAAGCACAAAAGUUUAAAAUUUUGAUGAUGUCUAGUAUAUUUUUUUCUUUUGUUGCUUGCACUUUUGGUGUUCUAAGAAACCGUUGACUAAUUCAAAGUUAUGAUUUACUCAUGUUUUCUUCUAAGAGUUAUAUAUUUUUAGCUGUUACACUUAGGCUUUGAUCCAUUUGAGUUAAUUUUGGUAUGGUGUGAGGUAAGGGUUCAGCUUUUUUGACCCUCCCAAUUGAAUGUGACCUUUCCCACUUAGUCAGUCAGGAUAGGCUAGGUUAUGUUGCAGUAACAAGUAUUUCCCAAAUCUCAGAGGCUACAACCACAAAUGUUUGUUUUCCACUCAAGCUAAGAGUGCAUCGUGGGUCAGCUGUGGCUCUGCUCCACGUUUUCUUCACUCUGCGACCCAGACUGUUGGCGUUGCCUCUGCCUGGAACACUGCCAGUCCCAUGGCAGGGGGAAGCAAGACAGGAUAGACUCUGGGCUGACUCCUUAAGUUUCUGUCCAGAAGUGACAUGUGUCUCUUCCAUUUUCACUUCAUUGGCCAAAACAAGUCAUAAGGCUAAAUCUGAUGUCUAUGGGGAAAGAAAAUUAAUCCUCCCGUAGGGCAGGCACUCCAAGGAGGAAACACUGAUCAUUCAGGGGAACAGGAAUACAAUUUAACACUUCCUCACUAUCCCCUGUAUGACUUGAUGCCUUGUUCUCCUGGUUUUCCUUCCGAACUCAGCAUGCCAGGACCUGAAUUUAUCACCGUCCUCAUCACCCCAAAAUCUGCUCCUCGUCCUGGACCCCUGACUUGGGAGACAGCACCCCAUCCUCCUGGUUGCCCCAGCCAGAACCUUGACACCAUCUUCUCCAUGUUCAACCAUCAAGGUGUACUAAGUCUGCUUCCUAAACAUCAGUUGAAGUUGUCUCUCUGGGUCCAUUCUUGGUGACUGUGCCCUAGACCACCACUGUCUCUCCACUGGAUGAUCAGAGUCCUGUCCAUUCAAAUCCAUUCUCCAUGUUGAGGCCAUAAUCAUUUCCAUAAAAUGAAAAUCGUUUUCCACUCUCCAGCUCAAAAUCCCUGCUGGCUCUUCAUUGCUCUGGGGAUAAUGAUUAAUACACUAACAGGCCUUGUAAGACCUUUCAUGAUCUGGCUUCAGUCAUCUCUCCAGCCUCACUUCUGUAUGGUAUCAGCCUGGCAUUUUAUUGCUCUUGAGUUAACUUUAGUUCCCUAAAUGCACGGUGAUGACUUCACUCAGGGCUUUUAUCCCCAUGUGUGCGAUACUGUUCCUCCUCUUCUGGGUAAAUCGUACUUGUUCUUAAAGUACUAGGCUGGGCAUCACUUGCUCCUUCCUUCAGACUAGGUGAUCACUAAGUGAUGGGAAGAUGGUUUAGCUAAGAGGCUAAAAGGAAGGGCUCUGGAACCUGACGCCCCAGUUUUGAAUCCUGGCUGUCAUCUACUGUGAUGUGAAACAGUGUGCAGGGUAUAGCUUCCCUCAGAUAUAAAAUAGGGGAUAAUAAGAGUCCCUAUUACAUAAGGCUGUGGGGAGGAUUAAAUGAAUAAAUACAGAGAGAAUGCUGACAAUAGCGCCUGACACACUGGGAGGACUCAAACAAUACUUGCCUUUACUUUUAUGUAUCUUCAUAGCAGCCUAUAGUGACCCCUAUAAUUCAGCAUUUAUCAGAGAAACAUAAUUCACAAUUUACUGACCUGACUACUUUUCUGCAUUGUGAGAUCCUUAGGUUGGGACAAUGUCUUAUUCAUUAUUAGUGCUCCAGUUGACAUGUAGUUAGCAUUUAUUAAACAUUUAUUAAGUACGAAGUCAAUUAAUCCAUGAACUUCUCCUCAUGGCAUUGAUCCCUUCUCAUCUUGUAUUAUGAUAUGAGGAUGAACUCUGUUCUCCUACUUGCUAAUCUUAUAGAGGGCGGGAUCCCAUCUCCCCCCAGCCCCACAUCGCUAAGCAACAUUGAAUUACUAUCAGUUGAAUUCAAUUCUCUUGAGAGCCUUUUCCUGCUUUUCCACCUGCUACAGUCCCUGAUGUAUAAUACUUCCAUGUAACCCAUGGUAACCUGGAAUUCCAAGGAAAGACUUUCUUUUAUCUGUAGCCCAAACAUUAUAGUUGGUCAGUCACAUAGGAAGGGGUUGAGGAUAAUGAAACUCAAGUUAGAGUUAGGAGCUACAUUUAGGUGGGGUGUCCUGUAAUUUCUGAAAAGAAUAUGAGCCUGGAGAUUUUGUUCUUCUUGAUCUCAUAAAAGCUACUGAAACCCUAGGUGCUGUUACAAUUGACCUACCUGCUGGGUGGGUAGAAGAGCAGGCUGAAGUGAAGGGGGGAUUAAGUGGGAUGUAAAAGCUGCAGGUUUUAGUCCAGGCUGUCAGCAAAUACAUGUGGCCUUGGAAGUUGCAACCUGUGUGGGACCUCCUUAUCCCACCGGGACAGUGAGGGAGGGUAAACGGUCUCUAGGCUCCCCAGCGAGUCUGAUAUUUCAGGCAUCAUCUCUCCAGAAGGAGCUCAUUCUAGGAAGGAAUGUUUUUAUCAUUCCACUUGAUCUCAGAAGAAAUAGAAAUAGUGUAGGAGAAACUAAACCAGAUGACUUUAGUCCCAAGGCUAGUGAUGGCUGAAAAUAAUCACAGGAGAGAUCAUCUGGAUGAACUUGAACUACCCACCUCUUGCAGGCAAGGGCCAAAGUGGGGUGUGAUGCUGAACAGCAAGUGGACUUCUGAGCCGGACAGACCCGAACGCAAACCCCAGCCUUGCCACGUACUAGCUGUGGGGUGGUGGGCCCGCUACGGAACCUCUUUAACCCUGAGUUUCCUCGGUUGUAAAAAAAAAAAACAGGAAUCAUAUGGGUGCUGCUGAAGCAGGGUAAGGAUUAAAGGAAGCGGUUUAUGUAUGACCCCUGGUGUUCACAGGCCUUUGGCAACUGUUGGGUCAUUUCCCUCUUCCGUUCCAUCCUCCAUCAAUUUAAAGGACUUGCACACUCACUGGUACCUGUGCCACUGGACCCACUUGCUCCUCAGCACAGGUUGGCAGUGGGCAUUUCUGUGGUUAGAUGAGCUCGGGAACUUUUUGGUCAGGACCACCCAGAGCGCCUGGGUCGACGAGCAUCUUCUCUUAGUCAGAUACAGUGAGUCUGAUCAAAUUCACACUCCUGCUUCUUUCUGUUCACUGAGGGUGUUUUGGUAGUUAGGGGACCAGCAGCACUGGGGGUCCUGGAGGGCAGGGCUCAGCGGGGAGACACGGGGCCACACAGUACCUCAGCGGAGCAGGAAUCCAUGAUUCAGCUGGAGCCGCAACCCAGGACUGGCCGUGGAGACACCUUAGGAACGACAGGACUACCUCUUACUCGUAAGGAGUUCUGCUCACGUGACAGAGUAUAGAAGGCCUCUCAACACGCGGCUCUCCCGACGCUCGCCUGGGGAUCGCGUGGGCACACGCAGUGUGCAGGGGCAGCCCUCCAGGGCCGCACUGCCUUGUACUCGUACCCUUGCCAUUUUUUCUCCCAUCCGCAAAGACUGCUCCUGCUGCAACCACGUGAGCAAGCCCAGCCAUCGCCUCCCUCAGGUAGGCCCGACAUCUCCCGGCUGCUCUGGGGCAGAGCUCACCUGGGAUUUGCUCAUGAGUCUCGGGUCACCAAGUCCCAAACUUUUUCCGAGGUUGCCCGGCUGAGAAAGGGACAUGUUAUGACCGGAAGCCAUGACUCAAUUCUAGGGGACGCUGCUUUGGGAAUCAGGCUUUGCAUUAGACAGGUGUGAAUUCUCAGAGUGUUUUAAGGAAUUCUAGCCAGAUAUCAGGGAGAUUUCUUUAUUUAGGCUUUAUUUAGUCAACUAGUCAUUUUUAUAGGGCAGAGAGUAAAAGCUUCCCCAAAAGUCAAGUAUUAGUCAAAUGGAAGCAACAUGAAUGAUAACAGCUACCGCUGACCGUGUACCUUCUGUGUGCCCAGCUGUGGAUAAGCACAGUGGUUACGGGCGCCUCGACUGGAUUCAGACUAUUCAAACGUGUGUGUGGAUCUUGGCUCUACCGCUUAACUAGCUGUGUGACGUUGGGUAAAUUAUUUAACCUCUCUGAGCCUCAGUUUCCUCAUUUGUAGGAUAGUAAUAGUAGCGACCUUAUAGGGUUGCAGGGAGGGUAAAUGAGUUAAUGCAAGAAACAGUCCUUAGCACAGUAAGCAUUAUCAAAUUCUCACUACUCAACAUGCAAAACUUGGAACAUGUUCAACAGUGAAAGUUAAUAAAAGACUAGAACGACCCAAUAAAGACAGGACCACUAAGGAUGCAGGUCCUGCAGGAGGGAAGAUUGGGUCACCCCAGUAGGACAGCAGAAACACGGAACGGGUGAUGAAAGAAAGAUGCUGGACGUGUCUGCUGUGACACCCUGACCAGUUCAGAAAAAUUAGGUGGGUGUAUUUUCUUCCUUGCUUGAUAAUGUGUAGUACACACACUCACUCACUGACCGGCUCAUAUGUUUUUUGUUGUUUUUUUUUGCAGUACAUGGGCCUCUCACUGUUGUGGCCUCUCCCGCUGUGGAGCACAGGCUCCGGACGUGCAGGCCCAGCCGCUCUGCGGCACGUGGGAUCCUCCCGGACCGGGGCACGAACCCAUGUCCCCUGCAUCGGCAGGCAGACUCUCAACCACUGCACCACCAGGGAAGCCCUCUUUUUUUUAAUGAAGAGUGGAUGUUGAAUUUUAUCAAAUGCUUUUUCUCCAUCUAGUAAGAUGAUCAUAUGAGUUUUCUUCUUUAUUCUGUUAAUGUGUGAAUUACAUCAUUUGACUGUCAAAUUUUAAAUCAACCUUGUAUUCCUGGAAUAAACCAGACUUGGUCAAAAUGGAUUGAUUAUCCUUUCUAUAUAUCAAUGGAUUUGCUUUGCUAAUAUUUUGCGUAGAUCUUUUUUCUGUAUUUAUGAGAGAGAUUGAUCUGGAAUUUUCUUUAUUCAUGAUGUCCUUGCCAAGUUUUGUUGUCAUAAUUAUACUGACCUCAUAAAAUGAGUUGGAAAAUGAUCUCUUUUUAUUUUCUCUGUAAAAGUUUUUCAUUGGAGUAAUAUUAUUUCUUCCUUAAAUACUUGAAAAUUCACUGAUGAAGUCAUCUGAGCCUGAAAUUUUCUUUAUGAGAAAGUUUCAAAUUAUAAUUUAGUUUCUUUAGUAGAUAUAGGACAAGUCAUAUUUUCUAUAUCUUUUUGUGUCAGUACUGGUAGUAUGUGUUUUUCUAGGAGUUUGUCCAUUUUACUUAAAAUUUCAAACUUAUUGGCCUAAAGUUUUUCAUGAUUCUUUUAUCUGCAGUACCAUGUAUUUAUGUACCUUUUUUCUUUCCAAAUAUUGAUAAUUCUACUUUGUCUAAUAUUAUUAGAGCUACAACAGCUGUUUUUUGUUAUCAUUAGUAUAUUAGUUUGAUAAGGCUACCAUAACAGAAUACCACAGACUGGGUGGCUUAAACAACAGAAACUUAACUUUCUUACAGUUCUGGAGGCAGGAAGUCCAAGAUGAAGGUGUCGGCAGGUUUGUUUUCUCCUGAGGCCUCUCUCCUCGGCUUGUAGAUGACUGCCUUCUUGCUGUACCCUCCCAUGGCCUUUUCUCUGUGAAUGCACAUCCCUGGUAUCUCUUGUAAUCCCAGUCUCCUCUUCUUUUAAGGCAGUGGCCCCCAACCUUUUUGGCACCAGGGACAAGUUUCGUG